AAGUCGUAACAAGGUUUCCGUAGGUGAACCUGCGGAAGGAUCAUUAUCACGUAUCCACGUAUCAACCAUUGUGCACUGUUUCACCCUCUGGAGUUUUUAAAACGAGAUAGCGCUUGUAGCUUCAGGCAUUUAAUUGGGCUCUUUUGUAAUGUAGUUUUAUGAGCCUCGUCUGACUACUCAUGCCUUCCCGGACCGGACGCGGUUUGGGUGCUCGUCUCCUUAGGAGUAUUUGAUAAACCGCAUUGUUUUUUAUUAACCUUUUUUAAAACUAUCUGAACUGACCGUCUUUUACUCUUCUUUAACCGGAGGAGACUAGACACCUUAUUAAAUUAUGAACGACUCUUAGCAACGGAUAUCUUGGUUCUC
rnacentral:misc_RNA from 1 species